rnacentral:rRNA from 1 species
GAGUUUGAUCUGGCUCAGGAUGAACGCUGGCGGCGUGCUUAACACAUGCAAGUCGAACGAAGCAUUUAAGACAGAUUACUUCGGUUUGAAGUCUUUUAUGACUGAGUGGCGGACGGGUGAGUAACGCGUGGGUAACCUGCCUCAUACAGGGGGAUAGCAGCUGGAAACGGCUGGUAAUACCGCAUAAGCGCACAGUACCACAUGGUACAGUGUGAAAAACUCCGGUGGUAUGAGAUGGACCCGCGUCUGAUUAGC